rnacentral:rRNA from 1 species
UACGUAGGGGGCAAGCGUUGUCCGGAAUUAUUGGGCGUAAAGCGCGCGCAGGCGGUUCGUUAAGUCUUCUGUUUAAGGCUGAGGCUCAACCUCGGUACGCAGGGGAAACUGGCGGACUGGAGUGCAGGAGAGGAAAGUGGAAUUCCACGUGUAGCGGUGAAAUGCGUAGAGAUGUGGAGGAACACCAGUGGCGAAGGCGACUUUCUGGCCUGCAACUGACGCUGAGGCGCGAAAGCGUGGGGAGCAAACAGG